rnacentral:rRNA from 1 species
GACGAACGCUGGCGGCGUGCCUAAUACAUGCAAGUCGAGCGAACGGACGAGAAGCUUGCUUCUCUGAUGUUAGCGGCGGACGGGAGAGUAACACGUGGAUAACCUACCUAUAUGACUGGGAUAACUUCGGGAAACCGGAGAUAACACCGGAUAAUAUUUUGAACCGCAUGGUUCAAAAGUGAAAGACGGUCUUGCUGUCACUUCUAGAUGGAUCUGCGCUGCAUUAGCUAGUUGGUAAGGUAACGGCUUACUAAGGCAACGAUGCAUAGCCGACGUGAGAGGGGGGUAGGCCACCCUGGAACUGAGACCCGGUCCAGACUCCUACGGGAGGCAGCAGUAGGGAAUCUUCCGCAGUGGGCGAAAGCCUGACGGAGCAACGCCGCGUGAGUGGUGGAGGUCUUCGGAUCGUAAAACUCUGUUAUUAGGGAAGAACAUAUGUGUAAGUAGCUGUGCACAGCUUGACGGUAACGAAUAAGAAAGCCACGGCUAACUACGUG